GGGGGACAUUUUGGGUUCUGAGGCCCUGGACGUGGGGACUGGAGCCCUCUCUGGGGUGGGCAUAAGAGCAGAAGCCCUCUCUGGGCUUCAUUUGGGAACAGAGUCCUUCUCUGUGCUUGACGUGGGAACUGGAGCCCUUUCUGGAGCGGACUCAGGGGCUGGAGCCCACAGUCUCUUCCUCCGCAUUCUCCUCUUUUGAGCAGAGGUGAAGGAGACUGCUUCUGUCAGCUGAGGGCUUGGAAGUGAAUCGGCCGGGAAAUAGAAAUAGAAAUCUUUUGUACCAUUUUAAAUGACUUUACUGUCAUUUUUGAUCACUUUAAUGUGUCCUUGAUUAAUAAAAGUAUCAAUUAUACGGUCUCAAACUUCUGAACGGUAGUGUAUGAAUGUUCCAGUUCUUGCUGUUUUCACUGUCAUUAUCACUGCUCGCUUCAGUGUGUGUCUCUGAUUGGUCAAUAGGCAGCGGUGGGUGUGGCCCAGAUAAUCAGAGCGUCAGUGACAUCAUUAACCUCGAGAUGUUGCAACUUGGAUCCAAACUGAAAUCAAGUAACACACAGUCAGGCUGGUCCUGUCCUUCCUGUACAUUCAUAAAUACGUCUACGAGACCCGGCUGUGAAAUCUGCAGCACAGAUCGACCCAAUCCUCCCAAUCACAGCAGCGUUCAGCAGGAAAAAGCAAGAAGAGCGAACCAGUGAAACUCAGCAUACCAAGAUAUUUUGGACAAUGCUUUGCUCUAGCUUUAUGGGAUCAGUUUGAGGAAGGUUCUCUUCUAUUCCAGCAUGACUGUGCCUCAGUGCACAAAGCAAGGUCCAGAAAGACAUGGCUGGAUGAGUCUGG
rnacentral:lncRNA from 1 species